rnacentral:rRNA from 1 species
GACGAAGGUGGCGAGCGUUACUCGGAAUCACUAGGCGUAAAGCGCGUGUAGGCGGAUGCUUAAGUCCGACGUGAAAUUUCCCGGCUUAACCGGGAAGGGUCGUCGGAUACUGGGCAUCUUGAGUGAAGCAGGGGAUGCCGGAAUUCCUGGUGUAGCGGUGAAAUGCGCAGAUAUCAGGAGGAACACCCGUGGCGAAGGCGGGCAUCUGGGCUUCUACUGACGCUGAGACGCGAAAGCUAGGGGAGCAAACAGG